rnacentral:rRNA from 1 species
AGAGUUUGAUCCUGGCUCAGAUUGAACGCUGGCGGAAUGCUUUACCAUGCAAGUYGAACGCGUAAGGGACUUCGGUCCCGAGUAGAGUGGCGCACGGGUGAGUAACGMGUAAGURAUCUACCCCUGUAUCUGGAAUAACCAACCGAAAGGUGAGCUAAUACCGGAUACGUUUGUCUUGAUGCGAAUGAUGAUAAAGAAAGGUGGCCUCUUCAUGAAAGCUACCGUACAGGGACGAGCUUGCGUACCAUUAGCUGGUUGGUAGGGUAAUGGCCUACCMAGGCGACGAUGGUUAGCGGGUCUGAGAGGAUGAUCCGCCMCACUGGAACUGAAACACGGACCAGACUCCUACGGGAGGCAGCAGUGAGGAAUAUUGCGYAAUGGGGGCAACCCUGACGCAGCGACGCCGCGUGGACGAUGAAGGCCCUUGGGUCGUAAAAUCCUGUCAGAUGGAAAGAAAUGUACASGUGUUAAUAUCGC